GUGCCCGCAGGGCCGGCGCCGCGCUCGGGCCCCGUCCUCCUCCCGCCGCGGCCUUCAGGCUCCCGGCGCAUCGGGGGCCGAUCGCGGAGACUGCUCUCAGUUGUUCCAGUCUGCUGGAGAAAACACAAGAUUGUGUUCUUCAUUACCUACCUGCGGCCAAGGUGUGGCAUCUUUCGUGUGUUCUAACUCUGGUGUAUGUUCCAGAUCCUUCAGCAUAAUACCCUUUGGUCAUGGAAAUGACAUCAUCAGGGAGACAACCUUGAGGAAAUGCCUGAAGUGACAGUAGAAAUAUUUUUUCCUGUUAUCUGCUGAAAGUCAUGUCGGAUUUUAGAGCAUGUACUGUGUUUGUGAUGGCCAUCUAUCUCUUAACUAUCAGAAUGGAACAAAAUAUUGGAGGUUAUUUUAAUGAGAACAGUCUUCUCCAGGAAGUCUGUGAUGACCAAAAUACUAGGGAAUGGCAACCCACUCCAGUAUUCUUGCCUGGAGAAUCCCAUGGAUGGAGGAGACUGGCGGGGCUACAGUCCAUGGGGUUGCAAAGAGUUGGACACGACUGAGCGACCAACACUGACUUAACCUUCCACACAAUGUCUUGCUCAGUGGUAAGGCCCAACUUUUCAUCAUAACCCAGUGAUGAUGGCAAAGUGAGAUUGUGAACGCCGCUCAGCAGCCACUGCCCGGUGGGUUUCAUCCGCAGACAUCUGGUGGCAAAAGUGUCAACAGCAUGGACAGCAAGGAGCCGCUUCAGCUGGGAGCAGUAGCAGCUUGACAUCCAGGAGGAAGGAAAACAAGAGCUCUAAACUCUGAAGUGAGGGCUUUGGAAUCUUCUAACCUGAUGAGGAUAUUCAAGGACCUGUCUGAUAAGUGUACUUUGUACCAUAAACUCAAGUAAAUAAAAAGCAAGUCAAUCAACAAAAUACAAAUAUUUUCUACCACUAAAUUGCUAAGGCAAUUCAAAAGAAUAUGCUUCUGUAACAAAAGGCCAUUCCAAACGAGGUGCCCUAAAAAUGUUUUGAAAGUGGUAAAAUAAUGGAAUAAAGAUAGUCUUUCCAAAUAAAAUUUUUCUUUGA